GUCCCUUCUGGGACAUUCGAUAAAAUUGGAACGAUACAGAGAAGAUUAGC
rnacentral:snRNA from 1 species